rnacentral:rRNA from 1 species
UGGGGAAUAUUGGACAAUGGGGGAAACCCUGAUCCAGCAAUGCCGCGUGUGUGAAGAAGGCCUGCGGGUUGUAAAGCACUUUAGGAGGGGAGGAAGUAUUAACUUCGAAUAGGAGUUAAUGUUGACGUUACCCUAAGAAUAAGCACCGGCUAACUCUGUGCCAGCAGCCGCGGUAAUACAGAGGGUGCAAGCGUUAAUCGGAAUUACUGGGCGUAAAGGGCGCGUAGGUGGUUGACUAAGUUAGAUGUGAAAUGUCUGGGCUUAACCUGGAUUAGUCAUUUAAUACUGGUUGACUAGAGUACAGUAGAGGGUAGUGGAAUUUCCAGUGUAGCGGUGAAAUGCGUAGAUAUUGGAAGGAACACCAGUGGCGAAGGCGGCUACCUGGACUGAUACUGACACUGAGGCGCGAAAGCGUGGGGAGCGAACAGGAUUAGAUACCCCGGUAGUCC